AACGGAAAGGCUCCAGCUUGCUGGAGUACUCGAGUGGCGAACGGGUGAGUAACACGUGGGUAAUCUGCCCUGCACUCUGGGAUAAGCCUGGGAAACUGGGUCUAAUACUGGAUAUGACCUUUCUCCUUAUGGGGUUUGGUGGAAAGUUUUUCGGUGUAGGAUGAGCCCGCGGCCUAUCAGCUUGUUGGUGGGGUGAUGGCCUACCAAGGCGACGACGGGUAGCCGGCCUGAGAGGGUGAUCGGCCACAUUGGGACUGAGAUACGGCCCAGACUCCUACGGGAGGCAGCAGUGGGGAAUAUUGCACAAUGGGCGGAAGCCUGAUGCAGCGACGCCGCGUGAGGGAUGACGGCCUUCGGGUUGUAAACCUCUUUCAGCAGGGACGAAGCGUAAGUGACGGUACCUGCAGAAGAAGCACCGGCUAACUAU
rnacentral:rRNA from 1 species